rnacentral:rRNA from 1 species
UACGGGGGGGGCAAGCGUUGUUCGGAAUUACUGGGCGUAAAGGCGCGUAGGCGGCCUGCUAAGUCGGACGUGAAAUCCCCCGGCUCAACCGGGAACUGCGUCCGAUACUGGUGGGCUCGAAUCCGGGAGAGGGAUGUGGAAUUCCAGGUGUAGCGGUGAAAUGGCGCAGAUAUCAGGAGGAACACCGGUGGCGAAGGCGGGUCUCUGGG